rnacentral:piRNA from 2 species
UCAGAAACAGUAAAUGAAUGGUCCACCAUGU